CGGAGAGUUUGAUCCUGGCUCAGGAUGAACGCUGGCGGCGUGCCUAAUACAUGCAAGUCGAACGCUUUGUGGUUCAACUGAUUUGAAGAGCUUGCUCAGAUAUGACGAUGGACAUUGCAAAGAGUGGCGAACGGGUGAGUAACACGUGGGAAACCUACCUCUUAGCAGGGGAUAACAUUUGGAAACAGAUGCUAAUACCGUAUAACAAUAGCAACCGCAUGGUUGCUACUUAAAAGAUGGUUCUGCUAUCACUAAGAGAUGGUCCCGCGGUGCAUUAGUUAGUUGGUGAGGUAAUGGCUCACCAAGACGAUGAUGCAUAGCCGAGUUGAGAGACUGAUCGGCCACAAUGGGACUGAGACACGGCCCAUACUCCUACGGGAGGCAGCAGUAGGGAAUCUUCCACAAUGGGCGAAAGCCUGAUGGAGCAACGCCGCGUGUGUGAUGAAGGGUUUCGGCUCGUAAAACACUGUUGUAAGAGAAGAAUGACAUUGAGAGUAACUGUUCAAUGUGUGACGGUAUCUUACCAGAAAGGAACGGCUAAAUACGUGCCAGCAGCCGCGGUAAUACGUAUGUUCCAAGCGUUAUCCGGAUUUAUUGGGCGUAAAGCGAGCGCAGACGGUUAUUUAAGUCUGAAGUGAAAGCCCUCAGCUCAACUGAGGAAUUGCUUUGGAAACUGGAUGACUUGAGUGCAGUAGAGGAAAGUGGAACUCCAUGUGUAGCGGUGAAAUGCGUAGAUAUAUGGAAGAACACCAGUGGCGAAGGCGGCUUUCUGGACUGUAACUGACGUUGAGGCUCGAAAGUGUGGGUAGCAAACAGGAUUAGAUACCCUGGUAGUCCCCCCGUAAACGAUGAGUG
rnacentral:rRNA from 1 species